rnacentral:rRNA from 1 species
GGAAAAUUUUGGGGGCCCCCCCCCGGUAGAAAAGAGGUUUCGGCUCAAAAACUCUUUUUUAUAAAGAGACAUUUUGGAGAAUACUUUUCCGGUUUUGGCGGUUUUUACCCAGAAACCCCGGGUUAAUUUCGUCCCACCACCGCGGUAAUACGUAGGUGCCAAGCGUUGUCCGGAUUUAUUGGGCGUAAAGCGAGCGCAGGCGGUUUUUUAAGUCUGAUGUGAAAGCCUUCGGCUCAACCGAAGAAGUGCAUCGGAAACUGGGAAACUUGAGUGCAGAAGAGGACAGUGGAACUCCAUGUGUAGCGGUGAAAUGCGUAGAUAUAUGGAAGAACACCAGUGGCGAAGGCGGCUGUCUGGUCUGUAACUGACGCUGAGGCUCGAAAGUAUGGGUAGCAAACAGGAUUAGAUACCCUGGUAGUCCAUACCGUAAACGAUGAAUGCUAAGUGUUGGAGGGUUUCCGCCCUUCAGUGCUGCAGCUAACGCAUUAAGCAUUCCGCCUGGGGAGUACGGCCGCAAGGCUGAAACUCAAAGGAAUUGACGGGGGCCCGCACAAGCGGUGGAGCAUGUGGUUUAAUUCGAAGCUACGCGAAGAACCUUACCAGGUCUUGACAUACUAUGCAAAUCUAAGAGAUUAGACGUUCCCUUCGGGGACAUGGAUACAGGUGGUGCAUGGUUGUCGUCAGCUCGUGUCGUGAGAUGUUGGGUUAAGUCCCGCAACGAGCGCAACCCUUAUUAUCAGUUGCCAGCAUUAAGUUGGGCACUCUGGUGAGACUGCCGGUGACAAACCGGAGGAAGGUGGGGAUGACGUCAAAUCAUCAUGCCCCUUAUGACCUGGGCUACACACGUGCUACAAUGGAUGGUACAACGAGUUGCGAACUCGCGAGAGUAAGCUAAUCUCUUAAAGCCAUUCUCAGUUCGGAUUGUAGGCUGCAACUCGCCUACAUGAAGUCGGAAUCGCUAGUAAUCGCGGAUCAGCAUGCCGCGGUGAAUACGUUCCCGGGCCUUGUACACACCGCCCGUCACACCAUGAGAGUUUGUAACACCCAAAGUCGGUGGGGUAACCUUUUAGGAACCAGCCGCCUAAGGUAUCGU